AUUGAACGCUGGCGGCAUGCCUUACACAUGCAAGUCGAACGGCAGCACGGGUGCUUGCACCUGGUGGCGAGUGGCGGACGGGUGAGUAAUACAUCGGAACAGGUCUUGUCUUGGGGGUUAGCCCGGCGAAAGCCGGAUUAAUACCGCAUACGAUCUACGGAUGAGAGCGGGGGACCUUCGGGCUUCGCGCUAUAGGGUUGGCCGAUGGCUGAUUAGCUAGUUGGUGGGGUAAAGGCCUACCAAGGCGACGAUGAGUAGCUGGUCUGAGAGGAUGACCAGCCACACUGGGACUGAGACACGGCCCAGACUCCUACGGGAGGCAGCAGUGGGGAAUAUUGGACAAUGGGCGAAAGCCUGAUCCAGCAAUGCCGCGUGUGUGAAGAAGGCCUUCGGGUUGUAAAGCCCUUUUGUCCGGAAAGAAAACCUUCGCCCUAAUACGGUCGGGUGAUGACGGUACCGGAAGAAUAAGCACCGGCUAACUACGUG
rnacentral:rRNA from 1 species